UUUUUUCCCCCCCCCCCCCCCCCCCCCCCCCCUUGUGUUUACAAACUGUUGAAUCUUUAAGGUGUACUUGGGAUCUGUUCAUUAAAAUUUUCUCUUCUUUGUGGUUUUGCCAUCAUUUUUUAAUUUUUUUUUUAUUGGAUGCUAUAUAUGUAUUUGUUUGUAUUGAAUUCGAUAAGAAACCCACCUCUCCCCUAAAAUAUGAAUAUUAAUUGUUUAAUAGCAUGAUAUACAUUGUGGACCCUCAAAUUAUAACAUUGGCUCGGGUUCUAACCCAAAACAGGGUCUUUGUGAUUUGUUUGCCUACAAACAUGUAUGUCUCUCCACAUGUAAUUGAUAAUACUCGCCCACUAGCUUUUUUUCUCUUGGAUUCUUGCCUUGUAGCUCUGUUGGUAUCAUUAUAGUUUGUGUGGAUAUCGUUCAUUUUGGGUUAUAAUGCCUCAAUUGUUUUAAACAAGCUCAACCAAGGCGAUGUGGGAUAAGACAUUAAAAUCACUCCCUAAUUGGCCCCAAAAGUAGUUCAAGCAUUAUCCAUCUCAGAUGCUCUAAGCUGCAUAUACACAAACCCCAACAAUGUGAUGUGGGAUAUCACAUCAAAAACAGUUCAACAAGUUGGAAUGAAUUGAAAUUGUUUGAUUCCUUGAAAUCAAGGGUUUUGAAACCUGUGUUACUGUACAUCUCAGACAAGAGAAAACAUGAUCAUGAACCCAGUCUAGCCUGAAAAAGGUAUUGUAUACCCAUUCUUCAUCUCAUGCCUUGGCAAUAAAAAAUGCAAAAUCAAGAGUAGUUACAUCUAUGAUUUGAUCAAAAUUUCUGUUUGGGAAUCAUAUUUUAAAAAUGUUCUUAUUAAAGAUAAGAAUAAUUUUAAUUUAAUAAAGGUCUGCCUGUGGUAUCAUGUUUGCAAGGAAAAAUAACAUCUGAAAAACAGUUAACAAAAAAAUAGUUUCUGCGACAAUUCUUGAAACUCACUUGUUUUUAAGAAUAAAAUGUCGUAUGCAAACUUAAAUAUGAAAAAUAGUUUCCUCGACUUAUUCUCCAUGCAAAGAAUCGUACGCUUAUAUUGAUAUUAAAGCUUUCAAAGCAUCCUCUAUAUUUUUAAUUGUUUCUCAAAAUACCGUACAAAUUGAAAACACCUCAAAUUUGUUCUCAGAUACAACAUAUUUUCAAAACAAAUGUUUCAAAAAAUUGUUUUUUGUUUGAAGUUUGCCAAAUGUAUUUUUUGACUUAAACAGAUUCCAAACAGGACCAUAGCCGCUCUAUUUCUCCAAAACACAAAUAAAUCAUGUUAGGAAGUACCGGUUAUGUUUCAACUUUCGAACAUCGGUUUUAGCGUAUAUCCCUAUCAAGGUGAUGGUAUCAUAUCUUCGCUUCACAUUUUACUAGUUUCUCAAUAAAAUUGACACUAGAACAUGAAAAGCUUCACAAAAGUUUUGAUACCAUCAAGAGCAAAUAUUAUGAAAAUUUUCCAAUCCAGGCUUUGAACAUCAUAUCAUAUGAAGUUUCAUAAGAGCCCUAGACAUGAAUUCAGAAACUUGCCCAGGGAAGUCCAUGGUAAAACCUAAUUCAGCAAUUAAAUAGGGAUGUGUUUGCAGUGUAAUCUCAUUGCUAUAUUAUGUACAAAUAAAAAAACAUUUGGUCAAGUUUCCUGAUAUGAUUAUGACAUGUACAAGAAGACCUUUACAAUAAAAUCUAGGUAUGCACUGAUUUAUUUUCAACUAAAUUAGGGUUUAGGAGUCAUACUUCAAUUUUAUGUUUGUAUACCAUCCUUGAAAGGACCGGAUUCGUGUAAUAGUUUCAUAACAAGCUUAACCUGCAAAUGGAAAUUAAUGAAAUGAAUCAGAUAAAAUUGCUCGAAGUCUAUAAAAAAUUUGCUCUUAAAAGAGAAAAACGUGUGGAAAGAUUAUAAAAAUCAUCCUUGUACUUUCCCAUAUGUCUCAUUUGACCUUGAAACUUUUUUUGUUUUUAAAGGAAUAUCAACCUUAAAUCAUGACAAAAGGUCAAAUAGAUCUUUCUAUUAAGGUUUUUCAUGAAAAAAAUUGACGGCAAAACUCACGUGAGAAGCACAUGGGUAAAUUGAACAUAUAUCCAAACAUAUCAUAUAAAAACUUAUGUUAAUGUAUAAAUGAUUGCCAUGCAAAUUUUUCAUCAUAAGAUUGACAUUGCUUCGGAAAGAAAAAAAAAAGUAUAGAUGCUAAAUUGGGACAUGGGCGGAAGUGUGUUUUUUUGUUAUUUACCGAAAAACUAUAGAUAAUACGAGAGAACAAUAUUUUUUCUUUCCUAACGUUCCGGUUGCCAGAAAUGAAAAACCAAACAUCAAAAAAGAUCAUUCACUAAGGCGGGUGGGAGAAGGGGGCACGGUUCAAGGGAGGUAGGUGUCAUAGCAAGGGUUUUGCAAAACCUAAGUGUAAUGUUUUUUUUUUUUUUUUUUUAAAUAGGCAAAUGUCGAAUAUACAAUAAAGGAUUCUAAGCAAAAGGUGCAGAAGAAAGAACCAACCAAGGCGUGAUGAUUCAACUUUUGUAAAUAGUUCAUUUGACAAGAUUUAGUGGAUUAGAGAACUGAGAUAUAUAUGACUUUCUCAUCCUAUCUAUAGUAUUACUUUGCUAAGAGUUACGCCAUCAUUUUCAUGAAACUUAAAAGGAAAAUGUUUCAUAUACAAGCAUACAACUUACAAUACUAGUAGAUUACUAAGAAGAAAAGAAAAAAGAAUAAACAAAAUGAAAGAUAAGAAACAAAUGAAGGGUAGAAACUUUACAAGUUUGCAUGGUAAAUCAUAUAUGUAAACAUCAAACUGGAAAAUUAAAAAGAAAUAAAAAGAUGAUCUUUCAUUGCCUUAAAACAAUGUUGGGUCCAUUUGGUAACAUUUUCAAAAGCAAUUCUCAAAAAUAAAUUUUGAAAAUAAUUUUCCUGGGUUAUUCUCCAUGAAGGCACUGUGUGCCUAUGUACAAUGCAAAAGUUUUCGACCAAUUCUCCAUGUUUCCAAUUGUUUCUCAGAACACCUUACAAAAAACAUUUGAAAAUCCUCAAAUUUGAGUUUCAAAAAAUCACCUUGUUUUCAGAAAAUUAUAAAGGAUCUGCUUUUAAUCAAAAAUUUGUCAAACAUGUUUUUAAGUUAAAGAACUGUUUCCUGUUCUAAUGAUCAAAAAACUGUUUUCAAGAACAGUUUCUAAACCAAAUGAAAGAUAGACAACAAAUAAAAGGUAGAAACUCUAUUAGUUCGCAUGAUAAUUGUAUAUGCAAACAUCAAAUUGGAAAAUUUAAAAGGAACAGAGAAAGAAAAAUUAUCCUCAAUGCCUCAAAACAAUGUAGUUUUUUUGUUAAUAAACAAUGAAUCAUUCUUCUACACAGGAUUUCAACCUAAUAACAAAAAAUAACUGUACAUACCUGAGCCGUUUCACGCACUAAAAAUUCGUUUAUGGCUUUCUCAAAACCCUUGUCCAGAAAGUAAUGGCAGCUGUAAGUUGUCACAGGCAUAUAGCCACGCUGAAUCUUAUGCUCACCUUGAGCUCCUGCCUCUACUUUGUUCAGAUUAAGUUCAAUAGCUGCUUCUAUUGCCUGUGAUAAUAUCACCACACAUAAAAUAAAGAAACAAAUUUAUAUCACUUUUCAAGCAGUUCACAUUCUCACUUCUUUAUGUCGUUAUACACUAAUGAAUUUUUACCAUAACAUGACUUUUUGACAAAUUUAUCGAGAAUUUCCAGUAAGUACUAAUUCUUAUUUGGUCACAUAGGAUCAAUGUCAACCCUAGUUUUCCUUACAAAGAAAAUAAAGUGACAUUUCCAGUUGGUUACUUAGAUUCCAAAACAUAGAUCAACAAGAGUACAAUCUUUUUUCUGAUAGGUAAACAGAGAUUGUAUUAAUUUUAAAAAGUAUACACAAUGUAUACAAAACAACCAAAAAACCAGAAGGUGUGAAUACACAAAAACAGGGAACCAUACCCUACGAAGAGCCUAACCAGUCCACAAAAUCUAUUAGUGACAUAGAACCAUCCCCAAUGUACAAUCUAACCCAAUCCCAAAAAAGACACAAAAAAUGAACUUUUAAUUGUUUGGUUCAAACUUUCACAAUUCUCAAAAGUUCUCCUAUUUCUCUCCUUCCAAAUGGACAAAAAAAAGGCAUAAAGGAGCAACUUUCCAGGCCUUUUUCCUUUUUUUGCCAACAAUCGCAUAACCAUUGCAAAAGUGAUAAUGGUCCCUUGAUUAGCUAAGACUGCAAUAUCCAUGCAUUUAGUUGGUAGUUCUAAAUCUUGAUUUUGAAAAUAAAUGGGGUAGCAUCUUUCCUAGAUUGUUCAACCGUAUAGAGAAUUGGAAUAUGAAAGAUUUUAUUCGUUCAUUUAAUCUUCUAUAUAUAAGUUACCAGCUAAUAUUUUCCUUCAAUGUUCUAUGUCGUUGGGGUUGUGGCACAGAUUAUUUUAGCUAGCCAAGAUGGAUUGGGUUCCUCGGAGAAGUAUUUCAGACAUGAUGUCCAUCAACUAUAAAGAUUUUGGCAAUUCCAAGAGAGGGGUGGUUUUGUGGCAGAAUACGUGCAUAGCAUUAAUUUGGGUUGUGUGGCGGGAAAGAAAUGCUAGGAUAUUUGAGGACAAAGCUAGGAAUUCGGAGAACCUUUAGGAUUCAAUUCAUUUCCUUGCUUCUCGUUGGGCUUUUUGUUCCGUGGUUUUUUUUCCCUUAUCGUGUUACAACUAGAUUGGCUAGCAAUGUGUAGUUCCAAUGGGACGGCCUAGUCAAGGGAGAUUGUUAGUAGUUCUUAGUGUAGUGCCUUGUUAUCUUUUUGUGUUGUUGAGUUUCAUCUCUAGUGGGAGGAUUCCUCAUCCUUCUAUUGUACUUUUUUUUCUAUCAAUAUAUACAUGUGUUGUUUCCUAUCAAAAAAAAAAAAGUUACCAGCUAAUAUUUCUCAUUUUAAAUGGUCCUGGUGGACCAUAGAGUUCAGCUUUACUGAUGAGAACAAAGUCAGAUCCAAACCUGGUAAUAGCAUGCUUCAAAAUGCAAGCUAGGAUAAUAAGCUCGUGGGAGACAUCCCCAUAAGCGGCCGAAUAAAGUAUCUCCUCCAAUAAGAUUGAGAGCUCCUGCAACAAGUUCAUCCCCUUCUUCAGCAACAACAAGUAGUACUUGAUCUUCCAUCUUUGAUCCCAUGUUGUGAAAGAAAUCUCUCGUUAGAUAAGGACUACCCCACCUAAGAUAAAUCAACAGCGUCUUUAGAAUGCGACAAGUUCAAGCAUUUCAAACGAUUCAACAUAUUUCAUGGAUAAAGAAAAUAAUAACAUGUUGAUUGAUAACAAUUUAAAAAUAUAAGAAUUUCAUUGUAAAGAGAUCAGAAACGGUCAAAUGAUAUUGACCAUACUUGUUAUCAGUGGUGUUCCUAUAGAACUUGUAAAAGGAAUCCCAGUGCUUAGCCUGCCAACAGAUAACCAUGAAAAGAUAACAGUAAGAGGACCAUCAACAUAGGGCAAAAGAAGCAAACCAAGUCACAAGUCUACUGAUGUGAUCUAUAAAGAUGAAUGAAAUAUUUAAUGUAAAUAUCUAAUAUAGAACAAUGAACAUUAGAAUCUACAGGAAUUAAUAAGCUAGAAAAACUUGGGAGGACCAAGUGCUUUUUACCUGUAGACGGAAGCUUUUGACAGGUCUUCUACAUUUUACAUUUUUUUUGGGUGGAGUGGAUCAAACUAAUUUUGCAGAAGAUAUGUAUAACUUUUUGUUUUUCAUUCAGUCUAAGAAGUUAUAUGAAUAUUCUGACUGUAAAUGAAUGAGUCAUUUAAUGUCUAAAAAUAAAACUUAAUUGAACUUUGGAUGGUUUUGUAGGAGUGCUGACCACUAAUGUUUCUAAAAUAAAAUCCCCAGAACUGGACCAAAAGAAAAACUCCAGAAAAUUUCCUAAUAGCCACAACUGAAAACCUAGAACAUUAUAUUGAAGAUUUUGACAAUAUGCUUUUUCAUGUAUAUCAUUAUAAAGCACUUAAUAGAUAAUCCCAACCAGCCUACAAAAAAUUUUACCAUCACCCCUUCUCAGCUGCAUCUCCACCAAUUGAAUUCAUGGCAAGAAAGUUUGCUGGUACUUAGUUCACAUAUAAUUUAGAUUCUAGUUGUUCUUGGUAGAUCUACCAUUUUAGGAUUUGGGCCCAUAAUAUAUAUCAUGGGCCCACACUUGUCAUGAGAGGCACAAUGACAAAAAUUGGAUAGAUAAAUAAUGGGAGGAGGACAAUAGUCAAUGACCUUGGGUUAACCAUAGCAUUGAUACCAAAUUAGACAAUUAGUUUCCCUAAAAGCUUAAGCUUUUAGGAUUGAGAUCCACAAUGUAUAUCAUGCUCCAACAAUUUUUACCAGUCUCCUGCAUAUAAUGUUACUUUUGGCAAAAAAGCUUUUCUAUGAAAAAAUAUUGAGUUUUCUCCUGUCAACCUCGCAAUUAAAAUGUACUUUUUCCCCUUUUUUUCCCAGUAUAGCUGUGCAUUCACCAUGUAGUGAUGAACCAACAAAGUAAUGCCUAAAGGAAUUUUUUGGCCUCUAUUUGUUUAUUCUUUUUGCAUAUUGCCAUGUACUGGAGGAUGAGUCAUUUUAGAGCCCCCAAUAAAAAACUCCAACAACUACCAUAAACUUCUAAAAGGACAAAUGAUUUCUUACAUUAUGAGCCCUAUGUACAGUUGAACUUAUGGAUGUAACAGCUUAACUAGAUUAUAAAACAGGCCAAAGAGUGAAAACAUGAUCACACACAUUCAAAACAGUAAGUGAAAAUGGUAAAAGAAAAAUGAAUAUAUGACAAACCCAAAAUUACCUCUAAUAUUCCUAGUUUCAGAUAUUAAUAUCAAGUACCUUUAUUUCAUAUCCCCGGAGCCGUUUCAUUGUUAAGUUUUGUGUAGA
rnacentral:lncRNA from 1 species